UACGAGGGGGGCGAGCGUUGUUCGGAAUUAUUGGGCGUAAAGGGUGCGUAGGCGGUUUGAUAAGUCUGAUGUGAAAUCUAUGGGCUCAACCCAUAGUCUGCAUUAGAAACUGUCGGGCUUGAGUAUGGGAGAGGUGAGUGGAACUCCUAGUGUAGAGGUGGAAUUCGUAGAUAUUAGGAAGAACACCAGUGGCGAAGGCGGCUCACUGGUCCGGUACUGACGCUGAGGUGCGAAAGCGUGGGGAGCAAACAGG
rnacentral:rRNA from 1 species